rnacentral:ncRNA from 1 species
AAGAUCUUCGGUGCCGGCAUAUGCCGGGUAAAAGGGAAACAGGUCAGAAUCCUGUACGAUCCCGUCACUGUAUUUCGGGGAGCGCGUCUUUUCGACAGAGCAAAGGUCUGAUAUGUCACUGGCCGGUUCCGGCCGGGAAGGCAGCGGGCGCGUAAUGAUCCAUAAGUCAGG